CAAUGGAUAAGCUCAACAGUUGACUUACAGAAUCAAUCUUAAGUUUGCCGCAAUUCCAACAAACGCAUUCUAAUAUUUUUUUUAUUUUGCUUAGGAAACCGAUGUGGAAAACUGGCUUUGCAAGUUCAAUAUGACCUGAAAGGUGUUAGCUAUCUUUUUAUUGAGUUUAGAAGGUUGCUGAAAAAAAAAGGUGUUUUUAUAACAAACCAAACAGUUGUAACACAUACCAAAAUGACCAGGACAAUCCGCCAUAGUUUCACCACAGGUUUGACACUUGAAUUGUCGAUCUUACAAAAUGUGUGAGAAUACUAAUCUUUUUCUGAAUUUCAUACCAAUAGUCCCCAAUCGAGGGUCCAGGAGCCCACCAACACGGGGGCGUUGUCCACUUUCAUCCAUGGUCUCAGGAAACUAAAAACGAUAAGUGAUAAGAACAAAACAAACACUUACCUCAAUCUUCGCAACGCUCAUUGAACGAAUUUCCUCCGGGGACAAGAUUCCAAAUUGAACCUCCUCCACCCGGCUAAUACUGUUAGUAAACGGUACUACUUAUAGAAACAUACCGUAAGGGGACAGAAGAAGGUGAAAACUAUGUAUUAGUAAUGGUAAAUACGUUCAACAUACCUGAAUCCCGCUCAUUCUACCUGAGUUGCAAAGAUUAAGUCGUAGGUGGUGUCGGCGAAAAUUUAACACAAGAGGACUACUUCACGGUAAUCAUGACCAUAAC